AGCGUGGAGACAGGUGGUGCAUGGCUGUCGUCAGCUCGUGUCGUGAGAUGUUGGGUUAAGUCCCGCAACGAGCGCAACCCUCACCCCUUGUUGCUACCAGGUAAAGCUGGGCACUCUAGGGGAACUGCCCCGGUCAACGGGGAGGAAGGCGGGGAUGACGUCAAGUCAUCAUGCCCCUGACGUCCUGGGCUACACACGUGCUACAAUGGCCGGUACAAAGGGAUGCCACACCGCGAGGUAGAGCUAAACCCAAAAAGCCGGUCUAAGUUCAGAUUGGAGUCUGCAACUCGACUCCAUGAAGGAGGAAUCGCUAGUAAUCGCGUAUCAGCACGACGCGGUGAAUACGUUCCCGGGCCUUGUACACACCGCCCGUCACACCACGAAAGCCAGCUGUACUCGAAGUCGCUGAG
rnacentral:rRNA from 1 species